GAUGAACGCUGGCGGCGUGCCUAAUACAUGCAAGUCGAGCGACCAGACGAGGAGCUUGCUCCUCUGACGUUAGCGGCGGACGGGUGAGUAACACGUGGAUAACCUACCUAUAUGACUGGGAUAACUUCGGGAAACCGGAGCUAAUACCGGAUAAUAUAUUCAACCGCAUGGUUCAAUAGUGAAAGACGGUUUUGCUGUCACUUAUAGAUGGAUCCGCGCCGCAUUAGCUAGUUGGUAAGGUAACGGCUUACCAAGGCAACGAUGCGUAGCCGACCUGAGAGGGUGAUCGGCCACACUGGAACUGAGACACGGUCCAGACUCCUACGGGAGGCAGCAGUAGGGAAUCUUCCGCAAUGGGCGAAAGCCUGACGGAGCAACGCCGCGUGAGUGAUGAAGGUCUUCGGAUCGUAAAACUCUGUUAUUAGGGAAGAACAAAUGUGUAAGUAACUAUGCACGUCUUGACGGUACCUAAUCAGAAAGCCACGGCUAACUACGUG
rnacentral:rRNA from 1 species